rnacentral:sRNA from 1 species
UUUAUGUAUUGUUACACGUAUUACUAUUAAUAUCUACUUGCUGCUAUGACACCGU